rnacentral:lncRNA from 1 species
GUCUGGGGAGGGGACAGUGCUGGGCCACAUCUGCUCUGGGACCCCGGCAGGUCCCCACCAGGCAGGGUGCAGCUUGAGGAUAGGAGCCAGGAGAUGCAGCAGCCUGGAGACCCACAGGAGGAGAUGAGGAAGCUGGCUGGCUCCAGGACAGACUUCCCAGCCAGGAUGGUCCUGAGUGAAGAGGAAAAACUGAAGAUUUCCAAAGACCUCGUGGAUCUCCAGAUCGAGACAAACAGAAUGAAGGAGCGUUAUGAGACAGAG